UGCUGCUGCCUUUGUGGCUGAGUGUUUAAUAGCCGUUGUCCCGUGGAUUCAUUCCCAUUUGCAGCUGCAGCAUUCAGUGGGAUUGACUUUAAGUACAGCUGAGCUGUGAUGAAGGGCUGUUUCUGCAGCGUGACUCAUAUUUCUAAUAAUAGUGGUAAACAGGUUAAGCAGAGGAGAAUGCGUCUGAGUCGCUCUCACGGGGUUUCAUUCAAAUAGCAAUAAUGGACAGAUAUGCAUUAAUGUGUGGAGUUAUAUCAGCUGACGGUGCCAGUGCAUUCCUACACUAUAAGUGGAGACAGUUGGAGGUUGGUCUCUACUUCCUCUCUAGCCGCGGGCACAAAGUGAACUUCCUGUCCCUCCGAGCACGCGCCUAAAAAACACACCUCGCGUCGGACGUCCCAAAAUUAAAGGAUGGCCUUGUUUUCCAUCACCUUUGGUCUCCUCCCCGUGUCUCCGGUUGGCUCGACAUCCAGGAGGAGAGAAACGACGGAGCGAGGGGGGAGAAAGUGCUGAUGCACAGUGAGAGCUGGACAGGGAUUUAAUUGAUCACUCCUUCAGGAAGUGCGGGAGGGGGGGGGGGAACAGGCGGGGAGGGUUAAUGGCAAAAAGAGGGGGCAUUCUGGGUAAUUCAUCGGAUUUAUGGGGGACAGAGGCAGAAGAGAUGGGCGCUCAGACAAGCAUAACUCAGUCACCGACAGUAAAUGAAAGGCCACGCGAUCCAUCACAGCACCAGGCAAAAUAUGUACUACAGGAACAAACAGAAUUUAAAGGCGGGGGUUUUUUAUGCAAGGAGAGAUGUUCAUCACAUUUCGGGACCGUGCGCGGAUCUGCGGCCUUCGCUGCGAAGCUCGGGUCGUGUCAGAGGCGUGUUUAUAGCGGAGCGGCUCCUUAUUCAGCCCCGGUUGACGCGCAAACACUUUUACUCCGAGGUCAAAAAAAAAAAAAAGUGCAGCGCUGGCAAUCUGGCGGCACUUAGAUUUACUGUGUUCGCUCAGACGGACUAAAAGAAGCGAGAGAGAGAGAGAGAGCGAUUAUCUAUCAAGGCCGCGUGGCGUGUCCGCGGGGAAGGUCGGCCUCCGGGUUUGCGCGCGCACGGAAUCAAUCAGCUGUUGUUGUUGUGAUUUAAUAGGAGAGCUUCAGCCGUCUCCCAGACCUCGGAUGCUCCACCCGACGAGCAAUUCAUCUGAACCCCACUGGAGGCACAUUAGGCGUCACUCGGCUCCAUGACUGUGUAAGUGGGGCACCGGCUAAAACCUGCAGGGAGUCUGCAGCGCAUACAAAUGAACCGGAGCGCGGCCCGGCGGUUCAUCUGAAAGGCAAACACGUGCCUUUAAUUACACGCGUCGAACGUUGGCGCGACACGCUAAUUACGAGCGGGCACGCGUGGGCUGCGCAUGUUGGGGUCCACGCACACCUGUUCUGCCUCCCGCUCGCGGCGAGCAGCGCUGCGCGAGCGCAUCCCGGCAUCUUUGGGCUGCGGCCGAAUCGAUGCCUUUUAAUUACCAGGGGCCCGGAGCCGCGGUCGAUACGGCUGACGAGAGGCAGCGCGCGCGCAUGCGCGCGCGAGAGAGGGACGCUUCGGGCGGUGAUUGAUGCGCUCUACUCGCAGCGAGCCGUCCUGCAGAUGUGCCGUUGGGCCUGAUUAAUCCGGGGUGAAUCCCGCAGGUUUAGAAGCGUUGGGGAAGAACAAACAGGAAACGCCCACUGUCAAAUCAGCCUCAGUCCACGAACGAUGACGUGCUGCAGCAUAAACAGCUCCCACACGCGCCCGUUACAGGCGGCAAGAAGAGCAGCGAGCGUAAACCUGCAGACUGAAUGAAGAGCAUCACCCAUUAAAGCGUGGCUGUAACAUUUUGACCAGUUCCAAUUUGAAGACAUUAAAAUCCUAUUAGGUGCACUCGUGUUCCUCCGUCAAGGCAGUAAUUGGUCCCCGAGGAGCGUCGCUGUCACUUUAUCAUUUUACGCCUUUAUGGGGGGACCAUCCUGACGCUGGCCAGGUCCCAGUGGAGAGGACGGAUCUAUGCAUUGAUAAACACAACCUCUGCUUCAUCAUUCACCAGCAGGUAGAAAGCCUGAGGGAAGCCAAUUCGGAUUAGUGCCAGCACUUAAAAAAUGAGUCCAAGAGUAAAUUAACUCAGGCCGCAUUUUCCCAAUAUAUAACUUUAUUUAAAAUAUUGUUACAAUUUAUUACUCUACACAACAUUUUCAAAGCUUUGUUCAUUUGUCUUAUAUUGGUUAGUAAAGGUUUUUCUUCUUUUUAAGAUAUAAAACUCCACUUUGCCUAGUUCUGCAGGUGUUAUUCCAUGUCUUUAGACACUUAGUAAAUGUGACACCAGCUGUUUUGUUUCAUUGUGUGGUUAUCGUAACCUCCGUACGUCGCCGCCCAUAAAACUAAUGCUGCCAGCGGCUGCUGUUGUGCGCUGACAUUACUUAAUUUUUUAUCAUUUCUGCUUAAAUAAAUAAAGGUUUUGAUUUGGAGAAAAAGGUGUGCGUUUUGUCCAAAGGAUGCUCUUUUUUAAAAUACCUAUUUACAGAUUAUGUCGAAGACAGACAAACAAGGUUCUCAAUUAAUGUUGUUGCCUACUUGCUAUGAAAAAGCCCUGUGUUUUAAAAUGAACAGAACUUAAUUACACAAAGGCUAACACUUUAUAACCAGCACUUACAUCCACCCUUCAGUUCAUAGGUCGGAUUUUUCAGUUUACACGAAGACGCCAGCAGCUGAUUUGCAUUCCAGGGGUUGAUGAACGUCAAGUCUACGGAGCUGCAGAUGGUGAGACUAACGCAGCAGCUCUGACUAGACUGUCACCAGGAAGAGGCUGAUGGAGCAGCCUCAUCAGAACCACUUCAAACGCUGUGAACCGCACUGCGCUCAGAUUCUCACAGCCAAGAUCUGAAGCAACAUUAAGCACCGAAUGCUAUGACAAUUGAUGCCAAUUUGGUGCCCAAGCUUCAGAAAACUGAUGUGUUACUAUAGUAACUGCAUCAAUUACAUGAUCAGAACAGCAGUGUUUGGGAGGAACACGCAGUUAGAGGCGCAUGUGCAGCCCUGACACGCAGAAAUGUUUAAGUUUUUAUAAACUCCCACUAUGUUUGUUGCACAAUCCAGCAUUACUCCGUUAUCACUAAGGUCCUGUGUGAAAUUCAAUCGUGCUUAUGUAAAUAAGUCAUUUACCUACAAGCCCGGACUGUCCAGCAUCUCAGACACAGCACAGUGUACACUGACGAAGAAAAACACAACGCAAACACAGGCCGACCACACAAAGACAUGCUUCUUAACAUUCCUGUCAUCCUCCCGCUUUCGCUUAAACCCCGUCUCUGACAUUUAUGUCACCGGCGCCCAAAAGGGACAACCGGCGGCACGCACACUUGCCUGUGACUGACAUGAUGAGUACGAUGGCACCAGGCAAAGACAAGACCAAAAAAAAAAAAAAAGAAAAAAGCUGUCUAAAGCCUAUUCACAGCAGCAGCACAAG